rnacentral:rRNA from 1 species
CAUAAUAACUAAACGAAUCGCAUGGGCUUGCGCCGGCGAUGGUUCAUUCAAAUUUCUGCCCUAUCAACUUUCGAUUGUGAGAUAGAGGCUUACAAUGGUCUUAACGGGUUACGGGGAAUUAGGGUUCUAUUCCGGAGAGGGAGCCUGAGAAACGGCUACCACAUCCCAGGAAGGCAGCAGGCGCGCUAAUUACCCCAUGCUGAUACAGCGAGGUAGUGACAAUUAAUACUGAUACGGGGCUCUUUCGGGUCUCGUAAUUGGAAUGAGUACAAUCUAAAUCCCUUAACGAGGAACAAUUGG